GUUCUGGCACGGCUACAUACCUGAUAGCCACAGUAGGGACCCCAAAGCUGCGGCAGCCCAAGCUCCUCUCGGCUUUGCUGCGUGACUUCCUGAGCUGCUGCCUGCAGACAGACGAGGAGCAGCGCUGGUCUGCCAAGGAGCUCCUGCAGCAUCCAUUUGUAACUUCAGCCAAGCCACCAUUCAUCCUGGAACAACUCAUCAACUCAGUGAAGAAGAUGAAUAA